rnacentral:rRNA from 1 species
UACGAAGGGGGCUAGCGUUGUUCGGAAUUACUGGGCGUAAAGGGCGCGUAGGCGGCUUCGCUAGUCGGGCGUGAAAUGCUUGGGCUUAACCCGGGAAUUGCGUUCGAUACUUCGAGGCUAGAGUGUGGGAGAGGUUGGUGGAAUUCCCAGUGUAGAGGUGAAAUUCGUAGAUAUUGGGAAGAACACCGGUGGCGAAGGCGGCCAACUGGACCACAACUGACGCUGAGGCGCGAAAGCGUGGGGGAGCAAACAGG